rnacentral:rRNA from 1 species
GACGAACGCUGGCGGCGUGCCUAAUACAUGCAAGUAGAACGCUGAAGGAGGAGCUUGCUUCUCUGGAUGAGUUGCGAACGGGUGAGUAACGCGUAGGUAACCUGCCUGGUAGCGGGGGAUAACUAUUGGAAACGAUAGCUAAUACCGCAUAAGAGUAGAUGUUGCAUGACAUUUGCUUAAAAGGUGCAAUUGCAUCACUACCAGAUGGACCUGCGUUGUAUUAGCUAGUUGGUGAGGUAACGGCUCAGCAAGGCAACGAUACAUAGCCGACCUGAGAGGGUGAUCGGCCACACUGGGACUGAGACACGGCCCAGACUCCUACGGGAGGCAGCAGUAGGGAAUCUUCGGCAAUGGACGGAAGUCUGACCGAGCAACGCCGCGUGAGUGAAGAAGGGUUUCGGAUCGUAAAGCUCUGUUGUAAGAGAAGAACGAGUGUGAGAGUGGAAAGUUCACACUGUGACGGUAUCUUACCAGAAAGGGACGGCUAACUACGUG